GGAGCGCCCUAGGGUAAAACUGGUGAUUGGGGCUAAGUCGUAACAAGGUAGCCGUACCGGAAGGUGCGGCUGGAACACCUCCUUUCUGGAGC
rnacentral:rRNA from 1 species